rnacentral:rRNA from 1 species
GAUGAACGCUGGCGGCGUGCUUAACACAUGCAAGUCGAACGAGUGGCGAACGGGUGAGUAACACGUGGGUGAUCUGCCCUGCACUUCGGGAUAAGCCUGGGAAACUGGGUCUAAUACUGGAUAGUGCAGGAUGAGCCCGCGGCCUAUCAGCUUGUUGGUGGGGUAAUGGCUACCAAGGCGCGACGGGUAGCCGGCCUGAGAGGGUGUACGGUCACAUUGGGACUGAGAUACGGCCCGGACUCCUACGGGAGGCAGCAGUGGGGAAUUUUGCACAAUGGGGGAAACCCUGAUGCAGCGACGCCGCGUGAUUUAGAAGGCCUUCGGGUUGUAAAAAUCUUUUCUAUGGGAAGCAGUACCAUAGGAAUAAGGACCGGCUAAUUACGUGCCAGCAGCCGCGGUAAUAC